CUCUGUGGUCCAUAUGUUUUCUGUUGUAUCUACUCUGCCACUGUGGUAUGAAAGUAGCCAUGGAUACUACAUAAAUGAGUGAACAUGGCUGUAUUCCAAUAAAACUAUGUUUAUAGACACUGAAAUUAGAAAUUCACUUAAUUUCCAUGUAUUAUGAAAUAUUCUUCUUUUAUUUUUUUCCAACCAUUUAAAGAUAUAAAAACUAUUCUUAUCCCACAGGCCAUGAACAAAAGGAAGCAGGCUGGUUUUGGCCUGCAGGGUAUAGUUCCUUGACCUCGGCUUCAUCCAAACACUCUAAUUUCAUCUCGUAUUUGUAUCCUUGGAGUGCCCAAUGCCAGCAAUACAGCCUACCCCUGGAAGAUGCCCAGUAUUGACCAUUUGAAUUUGAUAAAAGAGAUCCAGAACUCAAAGAUCCUUGAUGCUUUUUAUCAAUUCCACUAAACGUCAAGGACAGGAAAUAAAAACAUUUUUCUCUUCCGACUCAAACACAAUACCCCUUUGUGAAGCUGCUAAAAAUCUAGAAAUGGCAAAUCUGGGAAAAUUUUCAGAAACCUGGCCAAGAUGUGAAGACCCAGACUGUGGCGCUAUGUUUGGGACUCAGAGGUCUGACACGGGAGCUGAGACUCAGACCAAAGAAUUAAGAUAGUAACAACAUGUUGUCAAUUAAUCAUGCUCAUAAGGUGGUCAAAAUGACCAUGAGGACACAUUUCAGUCUACCGGACAGUAUGCCAGCUUUCAUUCUUGUGCUCAAAGACAAAGAAGAAAGCUUUAAUUUGGUGCAAUAUGGGCCGAAAGUUUAGUUGUCAUAUAUAUUAAACUCAGCCUACAGUCUUACUUGAGUAAAUUUCAUGAAAAAUCCAAUUUUCUUAAAUGUAAGUUAUGUUAGGGAAAAAACACUAUCUCCACAGGAGCUCAGAGAUGUCCCUAACAAUACACUCAAACAUAUUUCAUGUAUUUUAUGUUUUUAUGUUUAAACUUAUAAAUGUAAAUUAAUAUAUUUCUAUUAAAAUUCAUAAAAUAUAUAUGUACAUUUAUAAUAUAAAUUAAAUACCUUCAGCUGAGUUAGACAUUCUGUGCCUUGAAGGACACCAGUUAUUUUAGGAACAAAUACUCUUUAUUGAGGAAGAAAGUGCUGGAUCCACCAAUGGAAUGAACACCCACAUCUCUUAGACAUAGUUCCAUGCGUUACCUUCUUCCCCACAAACCGCAUGUUUGUGCAAUUAGCUUUCAUCAAAUCAACAUAUUAGUCACCAAAAAACAUGCUGAUGAAAACAAAGACAGGCUAGUUGCUUAUUUCUUGAA
rnacentral:lncRNA from 1 species